UACAGAGGGUGCGAGCGUUAAUCGGAAUUACUGGGCGUAAAGCGAGCGUAGUCGGUUAUUUAAGUCGGGUGUGAAAGCCCCGGGCUCAACCUGGGAAUUGCAUUCGAGACUGAAUAGCUAGGGUGCGGAAGAGGGAAGCGGAAUUUCCGGUGUAGCGGUGAAAUGCGUAGAUAUCGGAAGGAACACCAGUGGCGAAAGCGGCUUCCUGGUCCAGCACCGACGUUCAGGCACGAAAGCGUGGGGAGCAAACAGG
rnacentral:rRNA from 1 species